rnacentral:rRNA from 1 species
AUACGUAGGGUGCAAGCGUUAAUCGGAAUUACUGGGCGUAAAGCGUGCGCAGGCGGUUUUGUAAGACAGAGGUGAAAUCCCCGGGCUCAACCUGGGAACUGCCUUUGUGACUUCAAGGCUAGAGUACGGCAGAGGGGGAUGGAAUUCCGCGUGUAGCAGUGAAAUGCGUAGAUAUGCGGAGGAACACCGAUGGCGAAGGCAAUCCCCUGGGCCUGUACUGACGCUCAUGCACAAAAGCGUGGGGAGCAAACAGGAUUAGAUACCCUGGUAGUCCACGCCCUAAACGAUGUCAACUGGUUGUUGGGUCUUCAUUGACUCAGUAACGAAGCUAACGCGUGAAGUUGACCGCCUGGGAAGUACGGCCGCAAGGUUGAAACUUAAAGGAAUUGACGGGG